AAUUAAAUCACAUUAUCCUAGAGGAAUAGUGUUGAUUCUGUGUAUAAUGAAAACACUGUGCUAUACAAAGACAAAUAUGAAGAAAUUAAAAAUAAAGAAAAAUAUAAAAAUAAAAUAUCUGAAGAACGAAGGGAAGCCCUUCAAAAGCAAAAUAACAGAAAUGGUGAUAUAUUAGCCUUUGAUCCUACUAGUAACACGUGAAACUCCAAAUAAGCCAUUACUGAAUGUUUUUUUUUUUUUUCUUUUUUUUUUUAAUUUGAUAUUAACAAAUAAUAUACAAAUAUAUGCAUACGCCUAUAUGUGAUUUACGCAUUUUACUACAUCAAUAUAACUUUAUAAAAAAAAAGAGAGUGUACAUUUAUAAAAUUUUUUAUUAUUUGUUUAACAAUAAUUGAACAAACUAUAUAUUUUUAAUUUUUUGGUUAUUUGAUUUUCUGCUUAAUUAUGUG